AGGUCACGCGUGUGGAUGGAGCGUGUGUGAGAACCAGAAGAGAGGAGAGCCACGUGGCUCGUGGACGUGUUCUACCCCCUGGGCGGAUUAGGACACCUCGGAGCACCUUUCUGACUCAUCGAGCGUUCCUCCCCGACGCCUCGGAGUCAGAGCGCCGCCCGUGUGGAUCCUCAGACGGACUCCUGACCGCCGACACGCCAGUGAAGACACGAGUCUCCGUCUCAGUCCAUCGUGGCUGAGAAUGAUCUGCCACCAGAGGCCCCUGAAUCCUGAAAACUGCCCCUUUAAGGGUUUAUCUCCCGUUUACACACCUACGUGGUGCAACAGCGCGUUUAUUGGGCACACGCCCCGGCGAUAUGCAUUCCAACCGCCCCCCCCCACGCGGGGCGUGAUCUGCAGGUUGUCAUGGAGACCGGAUGUGUUUGAGACUUCAUCUCAAAGUGAAGAAGUGAGAGAUUGUUGUACAUCUGGUGACUAGAAGUUCUGAAUGAAUCUGAAUGUAAAAUCAUUUAAAUAACGGCGAUGAACGACAGGACUCACCCUGGGGGAGCGCCUGGAGCCGGUUCCUCUCCACAGACAGCAGCUGCAGGGCGGGGGCCCAGGACUCGCACGCCCGGCCCCUCCGCGUCCGUCCGGUCUCGCCCCCCACGCAGAGGGACAAGCGCUCGACGCCGUUGUCCCCGAGCCACACGUCCCGGAGGUUAGGACGCGGCCCGUCGAAGGCCACCGCCCGGAGGAGGUUGUGGGACAGGUCCAGCUGGGCGACGGAGGCCCGGAUGGGUCGGGGGGCCGAGGUCAGGCCGGCGGAGGAGCAGUUCAACAGGGAGGGGGCGCGGCAGGCGCAGGAGUCCGGACAGCCGCAGGAGACGUGGAGUCCGGAGGAGACGAGGAGGAGGAGCAGCAGGAAGGUCGCCGGCGUCCUCGCCAUCACGACGACUGAAAAACAUCCGCGCAUCACUCUUUGUGUCAUCACAGGACGACAACGCACACGGACGCACAAAGAACUCACCUGCACUCGCGUCAGGCGGGCCGAGGAAAGGUGUUGUCUCCGGUCCGUCAGAUCAAAGUCUGAGGAGCGUUCGCUGAGUGGGGCUGAAGGACUGUGGCUCCUUCAAUCAUUCACUGCGGCGGUUAAUGCCUCACUGGGCGGCGCUACGAUGAGCGCCGGACCCGACUGCUUACGACACCACAUUCUUACAGGCGAUAAAACCGACUUUAUGGUUUUAAACGACCAUGUAAACAUCCCACGGUAUUUUACUGAAGGCGAUAAGAAUCCCAGCGAGCGCUUUUCUGUUUAAAAGACGUUUUAAAUUUGUUCAAGUACUGAAAAUAAAUCUGACAACUUCAGACUUCAUUUAAAGCAGAUUUUAAUGUUGGAAUCACGUCUGCUCACGUUCCAAGUAGCAACAAGUCAUGGAAACAAAAGUGUCCCCUAAAUAUAAAGUACUUUGUGCUUAACCGAGUAGCACUCAAUGGUUUUUAAGACUUUAAAAACCAUCGAGUUUCUUUAUUGAAAUCAACAAAGCGACGACAUUCCAAUACAACAAAUCGGAUUCAUGAAUUAUGUUUGAAAGGAAACGAGUUUUCUUCUUCGACUGCGUUUGUUCUGAAGAAUCACUGAUGAGUUUCUAAAGAGUCUUUGAGGAGGAGGCGGAGCUUAACACAACCAUGUGAUAACUUUUAUAACCUAAACGUUUCACAAUGUUAUUUUGAAGGAGUCGAGUCAUCAGCACAGUUAUAAAAACACACGAGCAAACAGAAGCAAAAUGAAACUCAAAUAUUUUUUACUAUAUUGCACAAAAUUCAAACCAUCAAUAAAAGCUUCAAACCUU